rnacentral:rRNA from 1 species
GACGAACGUUGGCGGCGUGGAUUAGGCAUGCAAGUCGAGCGAGAACCGUAGCAAUACGGGGACAGCGGCGAAAGGGAGAGGAAUACGCGGGUACCUACCCUCGGAUCUGGGAUAGCCACGGGAAACUGUGGGUAAUACCAGAUGAUGUCUGCGAGAGAACAUCGCGCGGACCAAAGGUGUGAUUCCGUCCGAGGAGGGGCCCACGUCCUAUUAGCUAGUGGGUGGGGUAACGGCCUACCAAGGCAUUGAUGGGUACGGGGCGUGAGAGCGUGCCCCCGCUCACUGGGACUGAGACACUGCCCAGACACCUACGGGUGGCUGCAGUCGAGGAUCUUCGGCAAUGGGCGCAAGCCUGACCGAGCGACGCCGCGUGCGGGAUGAAGGCCUUCGGGUUGUAAACCGCCGUCGGAGGGGAGGAAAUGCCUAGGGGUUCUCCCCUAGGUUUGACCUAUCUUCAGAGGAAGUACGGGCUAAGUUCGUGCCAGCCGCCGCGGUAAAAC